GAUGAAGAACGUAGCGAAAUGCGAUAAGUAAUGUGAAUUGCAGAAUUCAGUGAAUCAUCGAAUCUUUGAACGCACAUUGCGCCCGUCAGUAUUCUGGCGGGCAUGCCUGUUCGAGCGUCAUUACGCCCCUCAAGUCCCCUGUGGACUUGGUGUUGGGGAUCGGCGAGGCUGGUUUUCCAGCACAGCCGUCCCUUAAAUUAAUUGGCGGUCUCGCCGUGGCCCUCCUCAGCGCAGUAGUAAAACACUCGCAACAGGAGCCCGGCGCGGUCCACUGCCGUAAAACCCCCCAACUUUUUAUAGUUGACCUCGAAUCAGGUAGGACUACCCGCUGAACUUAAGCAUAUCAAUAAGCGGAGGA
rnacentral:misc_RNA from 1 species